rnacentral:rRNA from 1 species
UGAAUGACUCUCGGCAAUGGAUAUCUCGGCUCUUGCAUCGAUGAAGAACGUAGUGAAAUGCGAUACUUGGUGUGAAUUGCAGAAUCUCGUGAACCAUUGAGUCUUUGAACGCAAGUUGUGCCCGAGGCUUUGUGACCGAGGGCACGCCUGCUUGGGCGUCAUGA